rnacentral:rRNA from 1 species
AUUAACGCUAGCGGCAGGCAUAAUACAUGCAAGUUGAACGGCAGCACAGGUGGCAAUACCGGGUGGCGAGUGGCGCACGGGUGCGUAACACGUAUGCAACCUACCCUAUACAGGCGAAUAACCUUUAGAAAUGAGGGCUAAUACGCCGUAGUAUUAUCUUAGGGCAUCUUAAGAUAAUUAAAGAUUUAUCGGUAUAGGAUGGGCAUGCGUCCCAUUAGUUAGUUGGUAGGGUAACGGCUUACCAAGGCUAUGAUGGGUAGGGG